rnacentral:rRNA from 1 species
UACGUAGGGUGCAAGCGUUAAUCGGAAUUACUGGGCGUAAAGCGUGCGCAGGCGGUUGUGCAAGACCGAUGUGAAAGCCCCGGGCUUAACCUGGGAAUGGCAUGGGAAACUGGCGGGCUGGAGUGUGGCAGAGGGGGGUGGAAUUCCGCGGUGUAGCAGUGAAAUGCGUAGAGAUGCGGAGGAACACCGGAUGGCGAAGGCAGCCCCCUGGGCUAACACUGACGCUCGAGGCACGAAAGCGUGGGGAGCAAACAGG